rnacentral:rRNA from 1 species
ACGAACGCUGGCGGCGUGCUUCACACAUGCCAGUCGAGCGGUAAGGCCUUUCGGGGUACACGAGCGGCGAACGGGUGAGUAACACGUGGGUGAUCUGCCCUGCACUUCGGGAUAAGCCUGGGAAACUGGGUCUAAUACCGGAUAUGACCUCCUAUCGCAUGGUGGGUGGUGGAAAGAUUUAUCGGUGCAGGAUGGGCCCGCGGCCUAUCAGCUUGUUGGUGGGGUAAUGGCCUACCAAGGCGACGACGGGUAGCCGACCUGAGAGGGUGACCGGCCACACUGGGACUGAGACACGGCCCAGACUCCUACGGGAGGCAGCAGUGGGGAAUAUUGCACAAUGGGCGAAAGCCUGAUGCAGCGACGCCGCGUGAGGGAUGACGGCCUUCGGGUUGUAAACCUCUUUCAGCAGGGACGAAGCGCAAGUGACGGUACCUGCAGAAGAAGCACCGGCUAACUACGUG